rnacentral:rRNA from 1 species
UACGUAGGGUGCGAGCGUUAAUCGGAAUUACUGGGCGUAAAGCGUGCGCAGGCGGCUUCGCAAGUCAGGCGUGAAAUCCCGGGCUUAACCUGGGAAUGGCGUCUGAAACUACGGAGCUGGAGUGUGGCAGAGGGAGUGCGGAAUUCCGAGGUGUAGGCGGUGAAAUGCGUAGAUAUCUGGAGGAACACCGGUGGCGAAGGCGGCAUCCUGGACCAACACUGACGCUGAGGAGCGAAAGCCAGGGGAGCAACAGGAU